UACAGAGGGGGCAAGCGUUAUUCGGAAUUAUUGGGCGUAAAGGGCGCGUAGGCGGCCUUGCAAGUGACGGGUGAAAUCCCUCGGCUUAACCGAGGAACUGCCUGUCGAAACUGCGUGGCUAGAGUACGGAAGAGGCGAGUGGAAUUCCUGGUGUAGCGGUGAAAUGCGCAGAUAUCAGGAGGAACACCGAUGGCGAAGGCAGGUCUCUGGGCCACUACUGACGUGAGAAGCGAAAGCAUGGGGAGCGAACAGG
rnacentral:rRNA from 1 species